rnacentral:rRNA from 1 species
AUUGAACGCUGGCGGCAGGCCUAACACAUGCAAGUCGAGCGGAUGAAGGGAGCUUGCUCCUGGAUUCAGCGGCGGACGGGUGAGUAAUGCCUAGGAAUCUGCCUGGUAGUGGGGGAUAACGUCCGGAAACGGGCGCUAAUACCGCAUACGUCCUGAGGGAGAAAGUGGGGGAUCUUCGGACCUCACGCUAUCAGAUGAGCCUAGGUCGGAUUAGCUAGUUGGUGGGGUAAAGGCCUACCAAGGCGACGAUCCGUAACUGGUCUGAGAGGAUGAUCAGUCACACUGGAACUGAGACACGGUCCAAACUCGUAAGGGAGGCAGCAGUGGGAAAUAUUGGACAGUGGGCGAAAGCCUGAUCCAGCCAUGCCGCGUGUGUGAAGAAGGUCUUCGGAGUGUAAAGCACUUUAAGUUGGGAGGAAGAGCAGUAGUUAAUACCUUGCUGUUUUGACGUUACCAACAGAAUAAGCACCGGCUAACUUCGUG